GUGUGUUAGUGAACGAUCAGGAGAAGGCUCCAAGGAGAGCCAAAACCCUAACUCCAACAAAUCAACAAAUUGAAGCUCAAAUCAAGACCCAAAUCGAUGCAUGAACACAUAUAAAUGAUCACCUAGUCGUGGGGAUCACAAGUUUGACGCCUAACGAGCUAUUUGGAGGCUUGGGAAAGGAAGCGGGUCAAACGAAUCAAGAAUGGAGGAAAAGCAUAAUUCGGAGGUAAGGUAAGUAUAGCUUACACUAGUCCUAUAUUUUAGAAUAUUACCUUAUCGUUUUAGUUACGAAUAAGAUAAAUACAUAGUUGGGGUAUGAUGUUCCGGCGAGUAGACGUACGGAACAAGAUAGUCGAACAUGACAAGAAACCAUGUUGAUGGUUUAAAAGGAGUUAAAUAGGUAAUUCGAUCAUUUUAUGACGAAUGGAAAACGAACUUUUAAAUGGUUACCUUAUAUGGUAAACCAAAACAAAUAAUAAUGGUAAAACGGUAAAUUGGUCACGCAUUGACCAUAACUAUUGGUUUUAAAGGACACUUAUGAAGGAAGCCUUAAUAGGCCAAAAGGUGUUAAGAAAUGAAUUUUAGGUAAAAUGACCGCACAAUGUGAAUCAGAGCGAGUCAUAUAGUCGAGAUGAAAAUACAUGUCGUCUCGCUAAUAUAAUCGGUCAUUUAGACCAAACGGGUCAAAAGGUGAAAUUAUCACCAUUUGACAAUAUCGACUAACGGGUUGUCGAGUGGUAUGAUUUCAGGGAAUAAAUAGCACAUGGAUGUUUACGGCGCUAUCUUUUAGCCGCCACUAAGGCAAGGUAUUGAAACGGGUCAAUAUAUUGAUCCGAGCCAGGUAUGUAUAAUAACACAACUCAUCAUGAAGAAUUUGGUGUUCUAUAAGAGUUAGACAAGGUUAAAAUAUAGAUAUUCGGUUAUCUUUUAGGUAAACCGAAUAAAUUGAGUUAAGAUUAUAGUGUUUUAGAAGCACAUGGGUUUACAAACAAGAAUUAUAGUUAAAAGGUCGGAUUUUGAGUCAAACAAGUAUUUAAAGGUCCGUGUAGUAAAAGAAGGGUGAAAAUUGACCAAAUUGCCCUUGUAAGCUAAUUCGAACGAACAACCUUUAAAGGUGGUUUGGAAACAAGUUUUAGGAUUAAAUAAAUGCUUAGAAUGAGUAUGAGUAGUGAAAGAUGUAAAUUCUUGGGUCGAAAGACGUUAUAUGAAUCUUUGCCGUAAAAGGAUAAUCCAAGGGGUAAAACUCGGAAUAUAUAGAUAUCCGCAUUAAACCCAAUACAUAUAUAGUUGUAGUGAAAGAUUACUUGAUAAGAAAUGUAGGAAUAAGAUGCUAGAAAUGAAUGAAAGCGAUUUCAUGCUUUAAAGUGCUUAAACUACCCUUAACGGGUCAAAAUAAGCAUACGAGCGAAAACGGGUUUAAAUUGUGUAAUAAACCUAUGAUUAGAACCUAAUAUGGUAGGGAACAUUAAUUUGAAGAAGUGUAUGAGAGAUAGGAAUCAAACAAAUACAUUUGUUUGAUAAAAUACAUAAACGGGUUAAAAUUCGGUAAAAAGGUAACGAGUCGAAGGCUUGAAGUCUCAAAAUUUCUUAUGUUGGCUGUAGGAUUCUAACUCCAUAAGAUGGAGGAUUCAAUUACGGACGCGUAGGAAAAAGAAUCGGGUAAAACGGAUCAAUAACGAAGGAGUUAUGGUCGUUUUCGUAAAAACUGGCAUAGCUGAAUUUUAGUUGCAGACCUGCUGAUGCAGGGGCCACCGUAAAUUACGGUGUCACCAUAAUUUACGGUGGAGUUGAAAAAUGUUAUGGUGGAUCCCUCCUGUUUACGGUGGGACCUGUACUACCAGUGGCCACCAUAAAUUACGGUGCCACCAUAAUUUACGGUGGAGGUCAGGUUGAAAACUUUGUUUUGUUAUCAAUUGUUUCUCGAACUCGUUUAGUCGCGUUUUAAGUCCCGUAUGACUAAAGCAUUUCAUGUUUAUGAAAUGUAGGUACAUUUUGGAUGCCGGAAGACGAUCAAGCAUCAUCGAAGAACCGAAUACUAUAAAGAUUCAUGCUUCCGCACUUUGCCACGUUGUAAAUUUUAAACAACGAAUUUAAUCACGUGAUGUAGAAUAACUUAUAAUUUGUAAAAGUUUUUGAAAACCCGUAUUUUUAUAAUAUGUGUAGUGUUAACUACACAUCUAAAUGUCAGUAUUUACAAGUAAAACUGUUAAUUAGUAACUAGGGUGUUACAAGUUGGUAUCAGAGCCUUGGUUUAAGAGAUUCAAGUAUGGUGGGGAAAACCAUGCUUGGACUUAAAUCUUAUGCUCUUGAUAACGAAUAGUGUUCGGUUCGAGGCUUGAUCGCAAAUCCGGUAAGUACACGUAUGUUAAUAGUUUAGUAUGCUAAAUUGUUGUAAAUAACACAUAGGGCUAUCGUGUAACGCAUGUUACCCCCAAUUAAACGAUUGAUGUAGUUGACGAAAAUACGCGCAUUGACGCGUAUAGUAGAAAAAGCCUUGUAUUAUAAUGCGGGCGAUUAUUAAAGUUGACGUUACUAACUUUUGUGAAUGUUUUCAUUGAAGGACACUCGCGUUUGAAGACGACGAGAGUCAAACAAAUUGUGGAUAUGAUGAUGGAACGGUCCGAAGUAUAACAGGAGGAGCAUGCUCACCAAGGACUAAAUCGCGGAAUGACCGUGAACAAGGUUAUUGGCAAAGAGAGCCUAUUAAAGCAAACAUUAUCAGGUACAUUUUGGAUGCCGGAAGACGAUCAAGCAUCAUCGAAGAACCGAAUACUAUAAAGAUUCAUGCUUCCGCACUUUGCCACGUUGUAAAUUUUAAACAACGAAUUUAAUCACGUGAUGUAGAAUAACUUAUAAUUUGUAAAAGUUUUUGAAAACCCGUAUUUUUAUAAUAUGUGUAGUGUUAACUAC
rnacentral:lncRNA from 1 species